rnacentral:rRNA from 1 species
AGUGAACGCUGGCGGUAGGCCUAACACAUGCAAGUCGAACGGCAGCACAGUAAGAGCUUGCUCUUACGGGUGGCGAGUGGCGGACGGGUGAGGAAUACAUCGGAAUCUACUUUUUCGUGGGGGAUAACGUAGGGAAACUUACGCUAAUACCGCAUACGACCUACGGGUGAAAGCAGGGGAUCUUCGGACCUUGCGCGAUUGAAUGAGCCGAUGUCGGAUUAGCUAGUUGGCGGGGUAAAGGCCCACCAAGGCGACGAUCCGUAGCUGGUCUGAGAGGAUGAUCAGCCACACUGGAACUGAGACACGGUCCAGGCUCCUACGGGAGGCAGCAGUGGGGAAUAUUGGACAAUGGGCGCAAGCCUGAUCCAGCCAUACCGCGUGGGUGAAGAAGGCCUUCGGGUUGUAAAGCCCUUUUGUUGGGAAAGAACAGCAGCAGGUUAAUACCCCGCUGUUCUGACGGUACCCAAAGAAUAAGCACCGGCUAACUUCGUG